GGGCCGUUAACUCAGGUGGUAGAGUAUCUGCCUUUUAAGCAGAGAGUCGCUGGUUCGAACCCAGCACGGCCCA
rfam:Desulfobacula sp. RIFOXYA12_FTLL_46_16 rifixya3_full_scaffold_48, whole genome shotgun sequence.